rnacentral:snRNA from 1 species
AGUGCUUCUCGGCCUUUUGGUUAAGGUCCAGUGUAGUAUCUGUUCUUAUCAGUUUAAUAUCUUUCACUUUUCAACAAUAAGCUGUUAUACUAGUGUAGUAUCUCACUGUGAAGUCAGUUUGCAUUUUCCUGAUGAUUAGUGACGUUGAG